rnacentral:rRNA from 1 species
GGACCCGCACAAGUAGUGGAGCAUGUGGUUUAAUUCGAUGCAACGCGAAAAACCUUACCUACUCUUGACAUACUUGGGAGCUCUUGUAAUGAGAGUGUGCCUUUUGGAACCAAGAUACAGGUGCUGCAUGGCUGUCGUCAGCUCGUGUCGUGAGAUGUUCCGUUAAGUCGGAUAACGAGCGCAACCCUUACCCUUAUUUGCCAGCGAUUCGGUCGGGAACUAUAAGGGGACUGCCGGUGAUAAACCGGAGGAAGGUGAGGACGACGUCAAGUCAUCAUGGCCCUUACGAGUAGGGCUACACACGUGCUACAAUGGGGAAUACAGACGGACGCUAAGCCGCGAGGUGGUGCUAAUCCUAGAAAGUUCUUCGUAGUCCGGAUUGGAGUCUGCAACUCGACUCCAUG